UACAGAGGGUGCGAGCGUUAAUCGGAAUUACUGGGCGUAAAGCGCGCGUAGACGGUUUGGUAAGUCAGAUGUGAAAUCCCUGGGCUCAACCUGGGAACUGCAUUUGAUACUGCCUGGCUAGAGUAUCGAAGAGGGAAGUGGAAUUUCCGGUGUAGCGGUGAAAUGCGUAGAUAUCGGAAGGAACACCAGUGGCGAAAGCGGCGCGCUGGACCACUACUGACGCUGAGGAACGAAAGCUAGGGGAGCAAACAG
rnacentral:rRNA from 1 species